AUCCAAAUCAUGAAGAGAUUUAUCAUUUGUCUGAUGUAUCU
ensembl:snoRNA